AGCGAACGCUGGCGGCAGGCCUAACACAUGCAAGUCGAACGAACUCUUCGGAGUUAGUGGCGGACGGGUGAGUAACACGUGGGAACGUGCCUUUUGGUUCGGAAUAACUCAGGGAAACUUGUGCUAAUACCGAAUGUGCCCUUCGGGGGAAAGAUUUAUCGCCAUUAGAGCGGCCCGCGUCUGAUUAGCUAGUUGGUGAGGUAACGGCUCACCAAGGCGACGAUCAGUAGCUGGUCUGAGAGGAUGACCAGCCACACUGGGACUGAGACACGGCCCAGACUCCUACGGGAGGCAGCAGUGGGGAAUCUUGCGCAAUGGGCGAAAGCCUGACGCAGCCAUGCCGCGUGAAUGAUGAAGGUCUUAGGAUUGUAAAAUUCUUUCACCGGGGACGAUGAUGACGGUACCCGGAGAAGAAGCCCCGGCUAACUUCGUG
rnacentral:rRNA from 1 species